AAUAGGAACUCCCCACUGUUCAUCAUGAAAAGCAGCGUACAAUGAAUCUUUUAGAAAAUGGAAACCAAUUAGCACAAGGAAUGCAAAAAACAAUAGAAUUUCUCAUAACAAGAACAUAAAAUUGUACAUUACCAAUAAUUAAAAUUACAAAUUAUUCAAAUUUACCUCAAUAUAUGCAAUUUUUUUCUCAAUCCUUCCUCGCAACCUUGAAUGGUUCCUCAAGCCACAAACAGUGGUUGUCGUUAAAAUUAGAUUGCUACAGUUGAAGUUUGCAAAUGCCCAUUCAAUUUCUGAAGGUUUAAAGCUUGAAGGUACAGCUUCUUCUUCUUCUUCCCGUUGCUUCUUCUUCUUCGUUGGCUUGAUCUCUUUCAAAUUUGGGAGCCGUUUUCUUCU
rnacentral:lncRNA from 1 species